UAUGUGAUUGAUAAGAUGUGAAAUAGAAAAUACAAAAAGAAAACCAUAAACAAAACAAAACAAAACAGAGAGAGAGAGAGAGAGGAGUCCAUCAGCAGAAAGCUAAACCCCCAAUAGUCCAAUACCUUCCUUCCAAGACAUUCAAAGCACUUCCCACAAGCACUAGCACAAGCAGUAGAAGAAGAAGAAGAAGAAGUAGAACCCAAGAAUUCUAUCUCUGUUUCUUGCUUUCCAUUCACUCAUAUAGUUUACAGAAGGCAAAAGAAAGAUUGAAUCUUUUUUCCAAUGCUGGAAAUGGAUGGCUCUUCUAAACCUCCCCAAAUCUCUGAGAUGUUUUCCAAAUUCGCUCUCGCUUUCAAAACCAAAACCUUUGAGUUCUUCGCCGAGGAGGAAGAAGACCCUGACAGCUUAUCUCUGCUCGACUCCGCCGAAGAAAUCAUCACCGACCAGAAGGUCGUCGUCAUCAAACCCGACGGAGCACGCAGUCCGACCUCGCCGGAGCUCCGAAUAAUACCGACGAAGCCCAAUUUGGGCGAGACCCAGGUCCAAAGCCCAGAGCUUUCGACGAUUACAAGGUCUCUGAGCAAAACCCAGAUCAGACCCAUCAAUAUUCCGAUGACCCAGACUCUGAUUUCGUCGGUCUUCGCCACAGUUUCGUCUUUCGAAGCUUCCUACCUCCAGUUACAGACGGCUCAUGUGCCCUUUGUGGAAGAAAACGUGACGUCAGCGGACCGAGCUCUGGUCUCUCACCUUCAGAGGCUCUCGGAGUUCAAGCAGUUUUUCAGGGAUUUUUGUGGAAGUUCGGAUAUCGGGUCGGGUUUUGGAGUCGGGUCUUGCUUGGAGGCCCAGGUGCAAGAGAAUCAGAGCAAGCUCAGGACUCUGGGGACCAUGUCAAAUAGGUUGCAGACAGAGAUUGAUCACAAAGACAAUGAAGUUGUGGCCCUGAGGAAAAAACUGGGUGAGAUUCAGAAAUCUAACUUUAGACUAUCUCAGAGGUUAUCUGGAACUUUGAAUUCUUCUUCUUGUGAGGUUUUGUUGUCAAUUAGAGUAUUUGAUUCGGUUCUACAUGAUGCUUGUAGAUUAACACACAGAUUUAGUAAGAUUUUGAUAAGUUUGAUGGGAAAAGCAGGGUGGGAUUUGGAUUUGGCUGCUAAUUUGGUUCAUCCUGAUGUUGGUUAUGUGAAAAAGGCUCAUAAUCGAUAUGCGUUUUUGUCAUAUGUUUGUUUGGGAAUGUUCAAAGGUUUUGAUUCGAAAGAUUUUGGUUUAGUUGGGGAUGAGGUUUUGUGUAAUGGGCAUGGUUCGGAAUUGGAUAAGAACAAUGUUCCUCUGAAGCAGUUGCUUGAGCAUGUUUCGAGCAAUCCGAUGGAGUUGUUGAGUAGGAACCAGAAUUGUAAGUUUUCGAGAUUUUGUGAGAGCAAGUAUCAAGAGAUCAUUCACCCCACUAUGGAAUCUUCAAUGUUCAGUAAUUUUGAUCGGAAUGCAGUUGUGUUGAGUAAAUGGAGGUCGUUGAGCGUAUUCUAUGAAUCAUUUGUUAACAUGGCUAGCUCGAUAUGGACGUUACACAAGUUGGCCUAUUGCUUCGAUCCUGUGGUGGAGAUAUUCCAAGUGGAAAGAGAUGCAGAUUUUUCUAUGGUAUAUAUGGAAGAUGUCACUAGGAGAUUGUCAUUGCCUAGUAAAACCAGGGAAAAAGUUGGCUUCACAGUGGUUCCGGGUUUUAAACUUGGAAGGACAAUAAUUCAGUCUCAGGUUUACCUAAGUGGCUUGAAAUGUACAGAGUAGUGGCAAGUUAUUGUUCCACUGUUAAGAUGUCAUGGCAAUAUCAAGAUCAGGCGCACUGUUGAUGUUUUGAUCUGAGAAGCUUGGAGUUCAAAUUAGAGGAAUCAGUUAUUGUGCUCACUAAGGAAACUCUUUGAAGAUGUUUGACUUCUAUAUAUGCUGCUCCCGCAGUAACUAUGCCAUUGCCAUAUAAAAGCUUUCUUGUGAUACAUGCUACCUGAAAUACAUGCUUGAUCUGGUUUCCCUGAAAGCGGCCUCUUUUGGGUACUUCUGUAAUGUGAAAUGUGAAUGUUAGGAUGAUUCUGUCUUGGACAAAGUCCCAAUUUCAUCUUUUAAGUAGGUGUAGUGCUAGUACAUUGAUGUAAAAUGCCACACCUAAAACCUUUGUGUUCUCUUCUGUUGUCUGUUUGCUGAUGAAGUACUUACCUGUCUAAACAUAUAUACUUAUUUAGGCGCACUGCUUAUAGUUUCAAUCUUGCAUUCCCUCUUUUUUGUUCUUUCUUUAGCCCUUUGGGGCUUAUAGUCUUUGAUUGCUGACUAGUGACUAUUGUUUAUCUGCACUCAUUCGGACAAGAGGCGCAGAUAGGUGCUUAUGUUUGUCUCUUUUUAUUGAUUUUAAAUUAUGGUCAAGCCUUAGAAAGCUGGUUCCUGCCUAGACAAUCUCUAUUGGAUAUGAUCAUUCUGAUUAUAAAGCUCCAAUUAUUUAAAAGUAGUAAUGGGUGGUGACCUAAUUCCCCAAUCCCUACUCUUGUUGUCUGGUCCCAGCUGACUCCAGACUAACCACUUCACUGGGAUAAUGCAUGUAUUAAACGAACCAGAUGAAGCAAUAUGUGAAUGCUUCUAAGUAUGAAACGACUAUUAUAGGGCAAUUUGUGUAAUUAAAUCCUGAUUCUAUAACACUUUCCACAAUUUCUAUAAUUCUUGAUAUCUUUCCCUAGUUGGGUAAUUUGUGCAUGUCUCACAGACUUACGUCACCUAAAGUUGUCUACAUGUAUGACUUGAAAUCAAAUGAUGAACUUGAUUUUGUGAUUUUUUUAUUUAUUUAUUUAUUUUUUUAUGAAGUCA